GUCCACGCUGUAAACGGUGCAUACUCGAUGUGGGCGGAGCUUUGAUCCCGUCCGUGUCUGAGCUAACGCGUUAAGUAUGCCGCCUGGGGACUACGGCCGCAAGGUUAAAACUCAAAGGAAUUGACGGGGGCCCCGCACAAGCGGUGGAGCAUGUGGCUUAAUUCGAGGCAACGCGAAGAACCUUACCUGGGUUUGACAUCCAUUGGACCGGAGAUGAAAGUUUCCUUUCCGCAAGGACCGAUGGACAGGUGCUGCAUGGCUGUCGU
rnacentral:rRNA from 1 species